rnacentral:rRNA from 1 species
UACGUAGGGUGCAAGCGUUGUCCGGAAUUAUUGGGCGUAAAGAGCUUGUAGGCGGUCUGUCGCGUCUGCUGUGAAAAUCCGGGGCUCAACCCCGGACUUGCAGUGGGUACGGGCAGACUAGAGUGUGGUAGGGGAGACUGGAAUUCCUGGUGUAGCGGCGAAAUGCGCAGAUAUCAGGAGGAACACCGAUGGCGAAGGCAGGUCUCUGGGCCACUACUGACGCUGAGAAGCGAAAGCAUGGGGAGCGAACAGG